rnacentral:lncRNA from 1 species
UUAAUUUGCUCAUACAAUUAUUCUACUAAUUUAUAUAGAACCAAUCCUUUUCUGAGAUUAAGUAGCACAAAUAUCGUAUUUUAAUCUUAGUUAAUGAAAGACAAAUUUUAAAAAGGUCAAAUAGGAAUAACAACUUUAUGUAUUCAUGUUUAGUGGAAACGAGAAGAUGCAAUACUUAGUUAUCAACGUAAGCCACUAUACCAUGAACAUAUGGUACGUGGAAUUAUUCAUACUAGCAACAUCAAAGGGUAAUAAUAAUAAUAAUUAUAGAGGUACAUUUAAUCCCUUACACAUCAUAAGUAAACACAUUUUAGUAAGGACGUUGUCCGACCCAGUUUCCAACAGGAUCAUAGUUGCAUGAAAUGAACCACCAUCCGUUGUUGCAACGAGCCCGACCACAACCUAGUCGAACUGAGUUGCGCCAGACUACUUGAGUAUAGUGUCCGCACACUUGUCCGCUUGCACAUUGGUUGGUACCAUAGUUGUAGUUUGGCUUCUCCCCCACCCACAAUUGCACAGCUGCCCUCCCCGUGAAAUCACCAGUUCCCUUGGCAAGGUUCUCCCCUGCACCGGAAUGAAUCAAGUUACAAUCACCAGUUCUUGAAUUGGCAUAAUUUUGUGCUCGGGAUGCCAAACCGGCAUCCCAAGACAUUGGCCCGACCCCGACUUGGGCACGGGCAUCGUUGUGAACCGCAAGAUAGUCUUGGGGUGAAUUUUGGGCAUCACAAGAGUGAAAUAUGGCUAAUACCAUGAGACAAGUGAGUAACAAUGAGAUGUUAAACAACCCCAUUUUGCUUUAGGUCUAGUGGAAAGAAAAUAAAUCUAAGUUAUUGUGAUUAUAAAUGUGAGAUAAGUAGUGUAUUUAUAAGUAAAAUUAAUUGUGGAAUUUUGUUUAGCAUGUGUGAAGAAAAUUCAAAGGAAAUUAGUAGAGGAAAUGAUAAAAAUGGUCUCUUAUCUUUGAUAGUAAGUUCAAAAUAGUCUCGUGUGUAUUUAGUUGAGCCAUUUUGGUCCUUCAAUUGUUUAGAAGUAAUUACUUUCGGUCCUGAUGGUAUCAAAGAUAAGUGAACAGUGUCUUCAUUGAAGGACUGCUUCUUCCUCCUUGAUAUUAUCAAAGGAUAAUAUACUUUGGUGGUAUUAAUGAGUAACUGAAUAGUGUUUUCAUUAAGAUUUGUUUCAGUCCUUCGAUGAGAAUACUCAAUCAUCCAUGAUAUCAUUACGGUAUUUCUACAUACUGUCGUGAUAUCAUUGAGGUAUGUUUGAAUUCUUCAAUAUUUUAAUUUUAAAAAAUAUAUUUCCUACUAAUUUAGAGUUUAAUAAAUAAGAUUGUGAAUUUAAUAAUUUUCUCAUAACUAUUUCUUAAAAAAAGAGUUAAAUCCUAUAUCUCAUACUAUAUCAUGUGCAAUAUAAAAAAGGAGAAAGUGGGGUAAGCAGGUAAAUAUUUUGAGGUAUAGGUCCAUUUAGGGUAAAUAGUUUGGAUAGAGUCCAAUUUAGAUAAAUAGUUUCAUAAUUGGGUCUAUCUUACAUAGUUUUUUCUAUUAAUUACGCUACUUAAUUUUUAAAUAUAUAAAUUUCAUAAUUUUAAAUAAGUAAAGAACCUAUGCCCAACUUCACACUAAGAAUUUAGUACUUUGACCCUCGUACUUGGAAUUUUUCAAUAUUAAUUUGCUCAUACAAUUAUUCAACUAAUUUAUAUAGAACCAAUCCUUUUCUGAGUUUAAGUAGCACAAAUAUCGUAUUUUAAUCUUAGUUAAUGAAAGACAAAUUUUAAAAAGGUCAAAUAGGAAUAACAACUUUAUGUAUUCAUGUUUAGUGGAAACAAGAAGAUGCAAUACUUAGUUAUCAACGUAAGCCACUAUACCAUGAACAUAUGGUACGUGGAAUUAUUCAUACUAGCAACAUCAAAGGGUAAUAAUAAUAAUAAUUAUAGAGGUACAUUUAAUCCCUUACACAUCAUAAGUAAACACAUUUUAGUAAGGACGUUGUCCGACCCAGUUUCCAACAGGAUCAUAGUUGCAUGAAAUGAACCACCAUCCGUUGUUGCAACGAGCCCGACCACAACCUAGUCGAACUGAGUUGCGCCAGACUACUUGAGUAUAGUGUCCGCACACUUGUCCGCUUGCACAUUGGUUGGUACCAUAGUUGUAGUUUGGCUUCUCCCCCACCCACAAUUGCACAGCUGCCCUCCCCGUGAAAUCACCAGUUCCCUUGGCAAGGUUCUCCCCUGCACCGGAAUGAAUCAAGUUACAAUCACCAGUUCUUGAAUUGGCAUAAUUUUGUGCUCGGGAUGCCAAACCGGCAUCCCAAGACAUUGGCCCGACCCCGACUUGGGCACGGGCAUCGUUGUGAACCGCAAGAUAGUCUUGGGGUGAAUUUUGGGCAUCACAAGAGUGAAAUAUGGCUAAUACCAUGAGACAAGUGAGUAACAAUGAGAUGUUAAACAACCCCAUUUUGCUUUAGGUCUAGUGGAAAGAAAAUAAAUCUAAGUUAUUGUGAUUAUAAAUGUGAGAUAAGUAGUGUAUUUAUAAGUAAAAUUAAUUGUGGAUUUUGGUUUAGCAUGUGUGAAGAAAAUUCAAAGGAAAUUAGUAGAGGAAAUGAUAAAAAUGGUCUCUUAUCUUUGAUAGUAAGUUCAAAAUAGUCUCGUGUGUAUUUAGUUGAGCCAUUUUGGUCCUUCAAUUGUUUAGAAGUAAUUACUUUCGGUCCUUUAAGUUUUUCAAAAAUGAGCAUUUUUUUUUAUCUUGAUUAGAUUUUUAUCAAACUUUGAUUGUUAAAUUUAAACAUUGUGGAAUUUUAUUUUUCAUAUUAAGAAAAUUCAAAUGUGAUUAGUACCUUGCAUGUCGUGUGAUUCAUAGAAUACUAUAUUCUUUAAAGAAUAGUCAUACUUUAAUCUAGGUAAUUCUUGUUUUUUUUUCAAAAUUAUAUUAUCAAAAUAAGGUUAAACAAGAUUAAUUAAGCAUUUUUGGGUGGAAUAAAAAGUCUAUAGAACAUAAGAAGACUUGAAUUACUAAAAAGAUAUAUAUUUUUUCUAUUAGAUGGGGCUCACACAUGUUCUACAAUCUCGUGAAGCAUAAAGAUGUAUAUUUUUUUUCCAUUAGAUGGGGCUCACACAUGUUCUACAGCCUCGUGAAGCAUGGACGUGACCAAAUGGUGAAGCAGCUAAAAUAAGGGCUUUAGGCUCCAAAAUUAUAGGGGUUUGAAUAAAAACUUUUUUUCUUAUACAAUGUCUUGGGUGUGUGCUGGAGUCCUCAUUAAUUUGAUUUAUGUCACAUAAGUACCUUUAAAGGGAAGUUCUAUCUAGCAGUCUUUAUUUUCAUUUUAGGAUUCGAACAUGGAACAUCCGAUCAAGAGAGGAUGCGAUUCAGUGUUUACUUGUAAAAUAUUUCAUGGAAAAAUGAUUUUAGGCCAUCGAUAUUAUUGAGCCGCCCUAAAUCUAUUGGGAGAAAAUUAUUGUACGAGAGAGAAGAGUGAGAAUUUGUUAGUCAUUGAAAGCAAUUUGAAUAUAAUGAAAACAAAAAAUAAACAAAGUGAUGGACACAUAAACCAGGACAAAUAUUUGGUCCUUUCUGUAGAAAUUAACUGCCUCACAUCCUGGCAGCUUCGAAUGAGAAUUAUUAAUUUUUAAAACGUUUUUAAGGGUUGAAGUUGAAUUUACGAAUAAAUAGUUACAUGUUUAAAUAAGUAUUAAAUAGAGAAUAAAUAAUUUGAUAUGCUUAAUAAAUAUAUGUGCACCUAAAGUAGUUCCUGACGAAUGUACUUCAUAUAAUAUUUUACAUAUAAAGUAUAAUUUUUCGAUAAAAGUUUUCAAUAGGUCACCGCCAGGGGAGGAGCCAGCAUGUCUUUAGGGGUUCAUCCGAAUCCCUUUUGGUGGAAAAUAUUACUAUAUAUACAUGGUUAAAAUUAUUUUUUAGAUGUAUAUAAUAGAUGUCGAACCCCCCUUCGACUAGUUCAUAUGUUUACUCCUUCGGAUUUUGAACCCCUUAUUAAAAAUCAUGGCUCUGCCACUAGUCACCGCUGCGUGGAAUUCCUGUUCCAUCACGUAAUUGGAGAGUUUUUUCUUGACUUCUAUUUUUAUUAUUAUGGAAUUAUCUACAGUUUAAUUCACUGAUUUUGAUUUGGAGAAUGACAAUAUGCUAAUUUUAUGUAUUAAACCUUAGUGUGAAGAUAAAAUAUUAUAUUUAUUUGACAACGUUACGUUUGUAUUAAAGUAAACUAGUAUAUAUAUAUAUUCGCGGAUAAUAUUAAAAAUAUUAUUUUUAAGUGUAUUAGAAUGUGUGACUUGCAAGUUUGAGUCAGUCAAAAUUACAGUUAUUUUUUGUGUGAUUAAUUAACUUAGUUAGAAAAUCAAAUAUAAUUAUUUCACUCGUACUUCAACUUAUAAUAACUAAACGAAGUCAAUCGGAACUCAUCAUAGCUUUCUGAGGGAUCGACUCAAGACUCAUAAUCAAGAUUAUAUUGAUUAUGCUCACUUAGUUUUUGAAUAUGUAAAUUUCAUAAUUUAAAAAAGGAAAUAAAGAAUCUAUGUCGUGUUAGUGUUUUGCCCUGAUUUUAAAAAAUAAAGGUCCUUUAAAUUUUUCAAAAGUGAACACUUUUGGUUUUGAGAAGAUAUUUAUCAAACUUUGAUUGUUAAAUUUAAUCGAAUUUGUAUAAAAUGUUAAAUUUAAACACUGUGGAAUUUUAUUUCACAUGUGAAGAAAAUUCAAAGGAGAUUAAUGUUACAUUGCAUGUCGUGUUAUUCAGGAAAUACUCUAUGCUUUAAAGAAUAGUCAUACUUUAAUCUAGGACAUUUCUUCACCCCAUAUUAUUCAGAUAAGAUUAAACAAGACUUAGUAAGUGUUUUUGGGUGGAAUAUUCACAAUAGGUAAAAUAUGCGCUCUCAAUAAUUACAUGCAAGUCUACGGAGCAUAGAAAGACAAGAUGCUUAUAUCGUAUAUUUGCUAAAUGAAUCUAAUUCUAAUACAACUUUAUAUCUCAAUUAAAUUGGACUCGCACAUGUUCUACAGUCUCGUGAAUCAUGUUGAAGCAACUAAAGCAAGGACUUUAGGCUCCAAAAUUUUAGGGUUCCGAUUUUUAUUUUUUAUUUUCUCAUACAAUGUCUAGAAUCUAUGUUGAAGUCACGAUUAAUUCAAUUUCGUGUCACAUAAGGUUCUUUAAAGGAAGAAGCUCUCUAGCAAUAUUUGUUUUCCUUUUGAGAUUUGGACUCAAUAUCUCUGAUCAAGAGAGGAAGCGAUUCAGUUUUAUUUAGCUAUAAAAUAUUUUAUGAAAAUUUGAUUUUAAACCAUCGAUCUUAUUGAGCCACCCUUGCGUGAAUGUAUUGGAAGAAAAUUAUUCUAUGAGAGAGAGAAGACUAAGUAUUUAUUAGUCAUUGAAAGCAAUUUGGAUAUAAUGAAAACAAAAAAAUAAAGAAAGUGAUGGACACUUAAACCAGAACAAAUUUUUGGUCCUUUGUGUGGAAAUUAACUGCUUCACAUCCUUGCAGCUUCGAAUGAGAUUUUUUUUAAAAAAAUUUGAAAGUGUUGAAGCUGAAUUUAUGAAUAAAUAGUUAUAUGUUUAGAUAAGUUUUAAAUGGAGCAUAAAUAGUUUGAUUUGCUUAAUUAUAUAUGCACACAUUAAGUAAUUUCUAUCGUAUAUAUUUUGUAUAUUUCUUUUAUAUAUAAAAUAUAAUUUUUUGGUGAAAAGUGUUCAACGAUAGUCGCUAUAGUGUGUGGAAUUCAUGUUCCAUCACAUAAUUGGAGAGUUUUUUCUUGACUUUCUUUUUAUUAUUACUAUUAUUUAUGGAUUUUUAUAUAGUUUAAUUCACUGAUUUUGAUUCGGAGAAUGACAAUAUACUAGAGUUUUAAUUUACCCUUUGUUUGGUUAUAAUAUAUUAUAUUUAUUUGACUGCGUUUGCAUUAUAGUAUAAAUUGUUUGGAAUUACUUGUUUGUUUUGGGAAAGACUUGCAAGUUUGAGUCGGUCAAAAUUACACUGUGAUUAAUCAACUUAAUUAGAAAAUCAAAUAUAAUUUUAUACUUCACUCGUAUUCCACUUAAACUAACUAAAUUAAGUUAAACGGAACUCACCAUAGCUUUUCUGUGGUAUUGAGUUGUAUAUAAAUACUAGUAACGAAAGCCCGGGCGCUGCCCGGGCCCUGUGGUAUUGAGUUGUAUAUAAAUAUACUCUGAUGGUAUCAAAGAUAACUGAACAGUGUCUUCAUUGAAAGACUGCUUCUUCCUCCUUGAUAUUAUCAAAGUAUAAUAUACUUUGGUGGUAUUAAUGAGUAACCGAAUAGUGUUUUCAUUAAGGUUUGUUUCAGUCCUUCGAUGAGAAUACUCAAUCAUCCAUGAUACCAUUACGGUAUAUCUACAUACUGUCGUGGUAUCAUUUAGGUAUGCUUGAAUUCUUCAAUAUUUUAAUUUUAAAAAAUAUAAAAAUAUAUUUCCUACUAAUUUAGAGUUUAAUAAAUAAGAUUGUGAAUUUAAUAAUUUCUCUUAAUUAUUUCUUAAAAAAAGAGUUAAAUCCUAUAUCUCAUACUGAUAUCAUACGCGAUAUAAAAAAGGAGAAAGUGGGGUAAGCAUGUAAAUAUUUUGAGGCAUGGGUCCAUUUAGGGUAAAUAGUUUGGAUAAAGUCCAAUUUAGAUAAAUAGUUUCAUAAUUGGGUCUAUCUUACAUAGUUUUUUCUAUUAAUUACGCUACUUAAUUUUUAAAUAUAUAAAUUUCAUAAUUUUAAAUAAGUAAAGAACCUAUGCCCAACUUCACACUCGUACUUGGAAUUUUUCAAUAUUAAUUUGCUCAUACAAUUAUUCUACUAAUUUAUAUAGAACCAAUCCUUUUCUGAGAUUAAGUAGCACAAAUAUCGUAUUUUAAUCUUAGUUAAUGAAAGACAAAUUUUAAAAAGGUCAAAUAGGAAUAACAACUUUAUGUAUUCAUGUUUAGUGGAAACGAGAAGAUGCAAUACUUAGUUAUCAACGUAAGCCACUAUACCAUGAACAUAUGGUACGUGGAAUUAUUCAUACUAGCAACAUCAAAGGGUAAUAAUAAUAAUAAUUAUAGAGGUACAUUUAAUCCCUUACACAUCAUAAGUAAACACAUUUUAGUAAGGACGUUGUCCGACCCAGUUUCCAACAGGAUCAUAGUUGCAUGAAAUGAACCACCAUCCGUUGUUGCAACGAGCCCGACCACAACCUAGUCGAACUGAGUUGCGCCAGACUACUUGAGUAUAGUGUCCGCACACUUGUCCGCUUGCACAUUGGUUGGUACCAUAGUUGUAGUUUGGCUUCUCCCCCA